rnacentral:rRNA from 1 species
AGCGAACGCUGGCGGCAGGCCUAACACAUGCAAGUCGAACGAAGUCUUCGGACUUAGUGGCGGACGGGUGAGUAACACGUGGGAACGUGCCUUUAGGUUCGGAAUAACUCAGGGAAACUUGUGCUAAUACCGGAUGAGCCCUCAGGGGGAAAGAUUUAUCGCCGAAAGAGCGGCCUGCGUUAGAUUAGCUAGUUGGUGAGGUAAAGGCUCACCAAGGCUAAGAUCUAUAGCUGGUCUGAGAGGAUGAUCAGCCACACUGUGACUGCGACACGGCCCAGACUCCUACGGGAUGCAGCAGUGGGGAAUCUAGCGCAAUGGGCGAAAACCUGACGCAGCCAUGUCGCUUGAAUGAUGAAGGUCUUAGGAUUGUAAAAUUCUUUUACCAGGGACGAUAAUGACGGUACCUGGAGAAAAAGCCCCGGCUAACUGCGUGCCAGCCGCCGCCGUAACAC